rnacentral:rRNA from 1 species
UGCCAGCAGCCGCGGUAAUACGAAGGGACCUAGCGUAGUUCGGAAUUACUGGGCUUAAAGAGCUCGUAGGUGGUUAGAAAAGUUAAUGGUGAAAUCCCAAGGCUUAACCUUGGAACUGCCAUUAAAACUUUUUAACUAGAGUAUGAUAGAGGUAAGCGGAAUUUCUAGUGUAGAGGUGAAAUUCGUAGAUAUUAGAAAGAACACCAAUUGCGAAGGCAGCUUUCUGGAUCAUUACUGACACUGAGGAGCGAAAGCAUGGGUAGCGAAGAGGAUUAGAUA